GCUGGGCGCGAUGGCACGUGCCUGUAGUCCCAGCUACUUGGGAGGCUGAGGUGGGAGGAUUGCUUCAGCCCAGGAGUUCUGGGCUGUAGUGCACUAUGCCAAUCGGGUGUCUGCACUAAGUUCGGCAUCAAUAUGGUGGCCUCUCGGGAAGGGGGGACCACCAUGUUGCCUAAGGAGAGAUGAACCGGCCCAGGUCAGAAACAGAGCAGGUCAAAACUCCUGUGCUGAUCAGUAGUGGGAUUGUGCCUGUGAAAGCCACUGCACUCUAGCCUGGGCAACAUAGCAAGACCCCAUCUCU
rnacentral:SRP_RNA from 1 species